rnacentral:rRNA from 1 species
AUGGGCCUAAUAGAGACUGACAAAUCUCUUGACGACUGCUUGACCGAGUCUGCUACUUUCCAGAUGCCAUGUGCUCUAAGAAGGCCUUUUGCAACUACUCUUGUAUUCUGUGAGGCGACCAACAUCCAUGCAUUGUGGGAGAAGCACCUAGAGUCAAUGUCUGAGGAUUACCGUCGUACCCAGUCCAACCAGGCUGCGCUGGAACAGAUGGUCCUUAGAGACAUCUGGGAUUUGGUGCAUUCGAUGGGCACAGAUAUUAAAAGCUAUGGCCUCCCGGAGCUGGUUGAGACCAGUGAUGGUUCCGGCGACCUCCUAAGGGAGGUUCGAGAGGAGUUGUCGGUCGGUGUGGAUCAAGAGCAUUUAGAUCUGUAUACAUCCCUGAACAUUGAGCAGAGGGCUAGGUUUGAGGAAAUCUUGGAUCAUGUGGUGAACAAUAGGAAAUAG